AUUGAACGCUGGCGGCAUGAUUUACACAUGCAAGUCGAGCGGUAACAGGCCGCAAGGUGCUGACGAGUGGCGAACGGGUGAGUAAUGCAUCGGAACGUGCCCAGUCGUGGGGGAUAACUACUCGAAAGAGUAGCUAAUACCGCAUACGAUCUAUGGAUGAAAGCGGGGGACCGUAAGGCCUCGCGCGAUUGGAGCGGCCGAUGUCAGAUUAGGUAGUUGGUGGGGUAAAGGCUCACCAAGCCAACGAUCUGUAGCUGGUCUGAGAGGACGACCAGCCACACUGGGACUGAGACACGGCCCAGACUCCUACGGGAGGCAGCAGUGGGGAAUUUUGGACAAUGGGCGCAAGCCUGAUCCAGCAAUGCCGCGUGCAGGAAGAAGGCCUUCGGGUUGUAAACUGCUUUUGUACGGAACGAAACGGCUCUGGUUAAUACCCGGGGCUAAUGACGGUACCGUAAGAAUAAGCACCGGCUAACUACGUG
rnacentral:rRNA from 1 species